AGGAGCCAGAAAGUGGUCCCCAUGGAGAUAAGCCCACUCACUGGCUGACCUUGGACUGCAAGUGAGGAAUAAGUCUUUCCUGUGUUGAGCCAUUGAGGCUUAGUGGGUGCUUUCUUGCACUAAUCAUCUAUUCCAGGUCAUCUUGACCCUCUUGUUACUGCAAUUCCUGGAUGCCUUGGACCACUCUGUCCUGAAAGUCCCUCCCCCAGCACAGGAAGUGCUUUGGCUUCACUGCCUGACCAGUGCAGGUUCCCUGCCGUCCUCAACUGGUCUCUACAGUCAGAGCAAAGCUAACACUGACAGUCAUGGGUUAUCUGACUUGGUCAGUCAUGGAGACCAAUUGAAUUGAACUAUGUGGACUCAGCUCAAACCGUGAAGCUAGGGGUAGACUCCAACCAUGUAAAUCAACAGCUCCUAACCAUCUACUGUGAUGGGCUCCUCUCCUAGCACAUGAUCUUGACAAGGUGUUGUUGUGUGCUUAAAGCAAUGAGACCCGCACUUCCUUGAGAAUGUCACACAGUGCAGAGAUAAUGCACCACCUAAGUGGACAUUUAUAUUCAGCGAUAGGACCACAAGAUCAAACGCAAGUCACCCACACAUCUGCUGCGCUCCUGUGUGACUGUCGGCCAAAGGAACUGAUUCUACAAUUUUGCAGUGCUUCUCUGCAGAAGUCUAAUGUGGUUAUCAGGCCUGGUGAGACUGUGUUGGCUUUUAUUAUAAGUGAAUAAAGAAGACUCAGAAUAUGAAGCUCCCAGCAAUGUGGAAUGAAGGAGCAGAGACCCAGAUCUACCAGCAUUCACCCUGAUGAAGUGUACACUUAUGCUGUGUACCUACUACUGCUGAUGACUUUUGCAUAGUCAUAAAAGAGUACCUCUUGGACUAGUUUGCCUUUGACUUCACCUGCCUCACUUAAAGUCGACAUUAGAAUUAACACACGGGAGAUGAUGGCGUGAGGUGUUUCCUAACCGUGGGGUCAUAUUAGUUAUGACAGCAAAUAAAAUACUUCCAAAAGACAAUCUUGAAUUUUCCUCAUGAUAAAUAUAAAAGAAUCAGAAAAUCAAAGUUCAGGCCC
rnacentral:lncRNA from 1 species